AGGGAAACCGAGUCUUAACUGGGCGUUAAGUUGCAGGGUAUAGACCCGAAACCCGGUGAUCUAGCCAUGGGCAGGUUGAAGGUUGGGUAACACUAACUGGAGGACCGAACCGACUAAUGUUGAAAAAUUAGCGGAUGACUUGUGGCUGGGGGUGAAAGGCCAAUCAAACCGGGAGAUAGCUGGUUCUCCCCGAAAGCUAUUUAGGUAGCGCCUCGUGAACUCAUCUUCGGGGGUAGAGCACUGUUUCGGCUAGGGGGUCAUCCCGACUUACCAACCCGAUGCAAACUGCGAAUACCGAAGAAUGUUAUCACGGGAGACACACGGCGGGUGCUAACGUCCGUCGUGAAGAGGGAAACAACCCAGACCGCCAGCUAAGGUCCCAAAGUCACAGUUAAGUGGGAAACGAUGUGGGAAGGCUCAGACAGCCAGGAUGUUGGCUUAGAAGCAGCCAUCAUUUAAAGAAAGCGUAAUAGCUCACUGGUCGAGUCGGCCUGCGCGGAAGAUGUAACGGGGCUAAACUGUGCACCGAAGCUGCGGCAGCGACGCUUAUGCGUUGUUGGGUAGGGGAGCGUUCUGUAAGCCUGCGAAGGUGUCCUGUGAGGGAUGCUGGAGGUAUCAGAAGUGCGAAUGCUGACAUAAGUAACGAUAAUGCGGGUGAAAAGCCCGCUCGCCGGAAGACCAAGGGUUCCUGUCCAACGUUAAUCGGGGCAGGGUGAGUCGACCCCUAAGGCGAGGCCGAAAGGCGUAGUCGAUGGGAAACGGGUUAAUAUUCCCGUACUUGGUGUUACUGCGAAGGGGGGACGGAGAAGGCUAUGUUGGCCGGGCGACGGUUGUCCCGGUUUAAGCGUGUAGGCUGGUUUUCCAGGCAAAUCCGGAAAAUCAAGGCUGAGGCGUGAUGACGAGGCACUACGGUGCUGAAGCAACAAAUGCCCUGCUUCCAGGAAAAGCCUCUAAGCAUCAGGUAACAUCAAAUCGUA
rnacentral:rRNA from 1 species